ensembl:ncRNA W02F12.10 ncRNA
CUCAUCCGUUUUUCACAUCGGAAAUUACUUUUUACCAUAGAAACCGGAUGACAUAUGAUAGCUGGCCUUUGUCUUUUGCUUUUUUCUUCAAAUUUUCCCGCAUUUUUCUUUGUCAGUUCAGACAUUCAUCG